UGGCGAACGGGUGAGUAAUGCAUCGGAACGUGCCCAGUCGUGGGGGAUAACUGCUCGAAAGAGCAGCUAAUACCGCAUACGACCUGAGGGUGAAAGCGGGGGACCGUAAGGCCUCGCGCGAUUGGAGCGGCCGAUGUCAGAUUAGCUAGUUGGUGGGGUAAAGGCCUACCAAGGCAACGAUCUGUAGUUGGUCUGAGAGGACGACCAGCCACACUGGGACUGAGACACGGCCCAGACUCCUACGGGAGGCAGCAGUGGGGAAUUUUGGACAAUGGGCGCAAGCCUGAUCCAGCAAUGCCGCGUGCAGGAAGAAGGCCUUCGGGUUGUAAACUGCUUUUGUCAGGGAAGAAAUCUUCUGGGCUAAUACCCCGGGAGGAUGACGGUACCUGAAGAAUAAGCACCGGCUAACUACGUGCCAGCAGCCGCGGUAAUACGUAGGGUGCGAGCGUUAAUCGGAAUUACUGGGCGUAAAGCGUGCGCAGGCGGUUAUGUAAGA
rnacentral:rRNA from 1 species